GUGCCAGCCGCCGCGGUAAUACGGAGGGGGUUAGCGUUGUUCGGAAUUACUGGGCGUAAAGCGCGCGUAGGCGGACCAGAAAGUUGGGGGUGAAAUCCCGGGGCUCAACCCCGGAACGGCCUCCAAAACUCCUGGUCUUGAGUUCGAGAGAGGUGAGUGGAAUUCCGAGUGUAGAGGUGAAAUUCGUAGAUAUUCGGAGGAACACCAGUGGCGAAGGCGACUCACUGGCUCGAUACUGACGCUGAGGUGCGAAAGUGUGGGGAGCAAACAGGAUUAGAUACCCCUGUAGUCC
rnacentral:rRNA from 1 species